rnacentral:rRNA from 1 species
CCUACGGGAGGCUGCAGUGGGGGAUAUUGCACAAUGGGCGAAAGCCUGAUGCAGCGACGCCGCGUGAGGGAAGACGGUCUUCGGAUUGUAAACCUCUGUCUUUGGGGAAGAAAAUGACGGUACCCAAAGAGGAAGCUCCGGCUAACUACGUGCCAGCAGCCGCGGUAAUACGUAGGGAGCAAGCGUUGUCCGGAAUUACUGGGUGUAAAGGGAGCGUAGGCGGGAUGGCAAGUAGAAUGUUAAAUCCAUCGGCUCAACCGGUGGCUGCGUUCUAAACUGCCGUUCUUGAGUGAAGUAGAGGCAGGCGGAAUUCCUAGUGUAGCGGUGAAAUGCGUAGAUAUUAGGAGGAACACUCGUGGCGAAGGCGGGUUCCUGGACAUUAACUGACGCUGAGGCACGAAGGCCAGGGGAGCGAAAGGGAUUAGAUACCCGGGUAGUC